UACGUAGGGACCAAGCGUUGUUCGGAUUUACUGGGCGUAAAGGGCGCGUAGGCGGCAAUUCAAGUCAUCUGUGAAAUCUCCGGGCUUAACCCGGAACGGUCAGAUGAUACUGCUUUGCUAGAGUGCGGAAGGGGCAAUCGGAAUUCUCGGUGUAGCGGUGAAAUGCGUAGAGAUGUGGAGGAACACCGAUGGCGAAGGCAGCCUCCUGGGCCAGCACUGACGCUCAUGCACGAAAGCGUGGGGAGCAAACAGG
rnacentral:rRNA from 1 species